UUGCAGAGAUUGGGUCUCAUUAUAUUUCUUAAGCUGCUCCCAAACUCUUGGACUCAAGUGAUCCGCCCUGAAAUUACAGGCAUGAACAAAUGUGCCAGCACACAGAUUCUCUCUGUACAACAUGGUCACUGCCAGAGGAUGAUGGAGAGGUGAUGUCCAUGAUUCAAGACUGUGUUUCCUACCCUCUUCCAUUGUAUCUUUCAGCAAUAUGAAGUUAAAACCAGGAUGUGACCCUAUUUAGAAACAAUGCAUAUGUAACUGGCUAAGAUGAGAUCUUACUGGAGGAGGGUGAGCCUUUAAUCCAACAAAGACUUAAAAUUCAGUAUGUUCUUAUGAGAAGAGGAGAAGAAAGACAGAGACACAAGAGGAAUGCCACGUGAUUGAUAAAAACCAGAGACUGGAGUGACACCUCUAAAAAUGUAGGAAAGCCAUUUCCAGCAGCCAAUGGAAGCUAAGAAGAGGCAAGGAAGUAUCCUCCCUGCUAACACUUUUAUUUUAGAUUUCUA
rnacentral:lncRNA from 10 species